GGCAUGUCUCCCAACACAAAAACGCUGGAAAAAAACAACUCACGCGGUUUGUUGUGGUGUUGUGUUGUGGUGUCAGAAACGAUAUGCUUGAGUGCGUCAAAUGGGAUCACCACCAACGUCUACGUAGAUUUUGAAGCAUGCCCAUGUAGGGAGUCUGGCUACAUGGCCUUGGACCGCCCCCCACCACCACUCGACCCACCCAGUUUAAAGACGGUUCGGUGACCUAGCGCCAUUUUAUUCUUGCAAGCUUUGGAAACACUUGGAUAAGCUAGCUAGCAGCAUGAAUCAACGUCGACAACCAAGAUGCUCAGUGGUCGGUUGCACAGUUCAGCACAAAUGCCUUCAUGUGACUCCAGCUUCAGAAGAUACAAGAUUGAAAUGGAUUGAUUUCAUAUAUGAAGGUAAUCUUCCUGCAAGAGUUGGCAAAUAUCUGUUAGUGUGAGCUAACCACUUUGAAAUGGACUGUUUUUUCAACCUGGGUAAAUAUAACGCUGGACUCACUGGAAGGUUGAUAUUGAAAGGGGGGUCGGUGCCAUCUAUCCGUCGCAGGACUGAAGACGAGGGAAAUGCAAGCACACCUGUUCAGGGUGCUAGGGUACAUCACAUGGCCUGCCAGACGGACCCACCACAGAUGUGCACAGUUGGCACGCAGCUUUCUGUGAAAACACUGCGACCUCACUACAAAAGUACAGAGUACGUGGAUAACCUGUUGGACCUCAUCUUUCACGAGGUUUUUCAGGACCCGGCCCCAUAUGUGAAUGAGGUGCUGAAGAUCCCAAUACCCGCGUAUCUCUCUGCCCAGUUUGAGAAACCUGACAAGCGGGAAGUUAUAGCCAGCUAUGUGUCGAGGUUCAAUCGAGGGCAGGUCUGAACUCCGUAUACCUUCCUUGAGCAUCAGGGAACACUCUUCGUAUCUGGAGCACAACGCAGGACGGCAGGACCACCCUGAUUCUCCGGCCCAGAUAGCCCCAACACC
ensembl:lncRNA